rnacentral:pre_miRNA from 1 species
GAGACACCCCCAUGGAGAAGGACUUGCUUCAGUGGGGCUUUGGUGCUCACUGAGUCCACCCCUUGAGUGUGUUGCU